CCAGGAAGAAUAACACAUGAAAUAAUAAUAGGUUAACUAAACUCAUCAAUGCUCUCUCACUCCCUCUGCUGGCCUUGUUAAUUAACAAAACCAGUGCCUAAGUAGUCCUGAUGGGAAUCGGUGAUACCAAGUGCAUGACCCAUAGAAUGCACUCUGUUUUGUGUUGGGAGCCAAUCAGAAAAUCACGUUGAUUGGCCUCCGUAUGAAACAAAAAAGGCCAAGAGAAAAUUUGUUGUGGGUAGUGAAAACAGAAUAGCAUGCUUAUUUUUGUAGUUUUAAGAAAGAAUUUAAUGAAAGGGAUACUUCACAAAUCUUAAAAAUGUGCUAUUUUUCAAAGGAAUAACACCAGUUACCCACAUUCUAUUAAAACAUAUAUGUACUUAGUAAAAGGCACUCAAAACAAGGUGUAUCAAUUUUGUAUUUCGGUGUUUACACACUGGAGGGUUAAAUGAAAGGUUGUCUGGCUUCGCUGGUAG
rnacentral:lncRNA from 1 species